rnacentral:rRNA from 1 species
AGAACGAACGCUGGCGGCAGGCCUAACACAUGCAAGUCGAACGGAUCCUUCGGGAUUAGUGGCAGACGGGUGAGUAACGCGUGGGAAGCUACCUUGUGGUAGGGAACAACAGUUGGAAACGACUGCUAAUACCCUAUGAGCCCUAUGGGGGAAAGAUUUAUCGCCAUGAGAUGUGCCCGCGUUAGAUUAGCUAGUUGGUAAGGUAAUGGCUUACCAAGGCGACGAUCUAUAGCUGGUCUGAGAGGAUGAUCAGCCACACUGGGACUGAGACACGGCCCAGACUCCUACGGGAGGCAGCAGUGGGGAAUAUUGGACAAUGGGGGCAACCCUGAUCCAGCCAUGCCGCGUGAGUGAUGACGGCCUUAGGGUUGUAAAGCUCUUUCAGCAGUGAAGAUAAUGACAUUAACUGCAGAAGAAGCCCCGGCUAACUUCGUGCCAGCAGCCGCGGUAAUACGAAGGGGGCUAGCGUUGUUCGGAAUCACUGGGCGUAAAGCGUACGUAGGCGGACUGAUCAGUCAGGGGUGAAAUCCCGGGGCUCAACCCCGGAACUGCCUUUGAUACUGUCAGUCUUGAGAUCGAGAGAGGUGAGUGGAACUCCGAGUGUAGAGGUGAAAUUCGUAGAUAUUCGGAAGAACACCAGUGGCGAAGGCGGCUCACUGGCUCGAWACUG